UACGGAGGGUGCAAGCGUUAUCCGGAUUCACUGGGUUUAAAGGGUGCGUAGGUGGGCAAGUAAGUCAGUGGUGAAAUCUCCGGGCUUAACCCGGAAACUGCCAUUGAUACUAUUUGUCUUGAAUACUGUGGAGGUCAGCGGAAUAUGUCAUGUAGCGGUGAAAUGCUUAGAUAUGACAUAGAACACCAAUCGCGAAGGCAGCUGGCUACACAAAUAUUGACACUGAGGCACGAAAGCGUGGGGAUCAAACAGG
rnacentral:rRNA from 1 species